UCAUAUAUAAUCGCACUUCAUAAGAAGGGAGACAAAUCUGAUCCCAAUAAUUACAGAGGUAUAUCUUUAAUCAGUAAUCUUCCUAAAAUAUUCAAUGCUGUACUUAAUAAUAGACUAAUCACAGUUGUGGAUAAACAGCUGAAUAACUGUCAAUUUGGCUUCAGAGAAAACCACAGAACUGCUGACAGUAUUUUCAUAUUAAAAUCUUUAAUUAAUAAAUAUAUACACAAAAAUAACAAAAAAAUAUAUGCAUGCUUCAUUGACUUAAGAAAGGCAUUUGACUCUGUAUGGAGGACAGCCCUUCUGUAUAAAUAAUGCAAAAUG
rnacentral:lncRNA from 1 species